CCUACGGGUGACAGCAGUGAGGAAUAUUGGUCAAUGGGCGAGAGCCUGAACCAGCCAAGUCGCGUGAGGGAGUACUGCCCUAUGGGUUGUAAACCUCUUUUGUCGGGGAGCAAAAGCCGGACGUGUCCGGCUGUGAGAGUACCCGAAGAAAAAGCAUCGGCUAACUCCGUGCCAGCAGCCGCGGUAAUACGGAGGAUGCGAGCGUUAUCCGGAUUUAUUGGGUUAAAAGGGUGCGCAGGCGGAUUUUUAAGUCAGCGGUCAAAUCGUGGGGCUCAACCCCAUCCAGCCGUUGAAACUGGGGAUCUAGAGUGUGCGAGAGGUAUGCGGAAUGCGUGGUGUAGCGGUGAAAUGCAUAGAUAUCACGCAGAACUCCGAUUGCGAAGGCAGCUUACUAAGCCAUAACUGACACUGAAGCACGAAAGCGUGGGGAUCAAACAGGAUUAGAUACCCCUGUAGUC
rnacentral:rRNA from 1 species